AUGGGGAAUAUUGCGCAAUGGGCGAAAGCCUGACGCAGCGACGCCGCGUGAGGGAUGAAGGUUUUCGGAUCGUAAACCUCUGUCAGUAGGGAAGAAACUACGUUGUGCUAAUCAGCAGCGUACUGACGGUACCUUCAAAGGAAGCACCGGCUAACUCCGUGCCAGCAGCCGCGGUAAUACGGAUGGUGCAAGCGUUAAUCGGAAUUACUGGGCGUAAAGCGCACGUAGGCUGUAGUGUAAGUCAGGGGUGAAAUCCCACGGCUCAACCGUGGAACUGACUUUGGUACUGCACAGGUUGAAUCCGGGAGAGGGUGGCGGAGUUCGAGGUGUAGGAGUGAACUCCGUAGAUAUCUGGAGGACCAUCAGUGGCGAAGGCGGCCACCUGGACCGGUAUUGACGCUGAGGUGCGAACGCGUGGGGAGCAAACAGGAUUAGAAACCCGAGUAGUCC
rnacentral:rRNA from 1 species